AUACUUACCUGAAGCCGGGGCCUCGGUGAUCACCGAGGACGAGCCCCCAGGGCGGGGUGCGGGCAUUGCACUGGGCUCGCUUUGGCCCCUGCUACUACCCCAAAUGGGGGCAGAUGGGGCAUGCAAAUUGCUC
rnacentral:snRNA from 1 species